UCAGUCGGCCGGACGGCCGCUCCGGCAAUCACCGAAAGGUGGCUGGGGAGGAAAGUCCGGGCUCCAUCGACAUACGGUGCCGGAUAACAUCCGGCGGGGGCAACCCCAGGGACAGUGCCACAGAGAACGAACCGCCUCCUCUUCGGAUGAGGCAAGGGUGAAAAGGUGCGGUAAGAGCGCACCGCGGGUCCGGCAACGGAACCGGCAUGGCAAACCACACCGGGAGCAAGACCGAAUAGGGACGGCAACGCGGGUCGUUCGCUCGAUGAGCGAUAACACCGCAGGGCGAUGUCAGGCUCGCCGUCCGGGUAGGUUGCUCGAGGCAACGCGCAAGCGGUGUCCCAGAGGAAUGGCCGUCACGUAUCGCCAGCGCAAGCGGGCGGUGCCCUACAGAACCCGGCUUACAGGCUGGCUGAUAUC
rnacentral:RNase_P_RNA from 1 species